GGAGAGAUACUCAAGAGGCCGAAGAGGACGGUUUGCUAAACCGUUAGUGGGUGAAUGCCCAGCGAGGGUUCGAAUCCCUCUCUCUCCG
rnacentral:tRNA from 1 species